rnacentral:misc_RNA from 1 species
GAGGGUUUCAUCUAAUGUGGAAGUGGUCGAAUCCAGAAAAUGAUCAAACGUCGCCGCAAAGGAGUCGACUUUCUGCAGUGCAACGGGGAUCUCUCUGUCGCAGAUCAGUCGCAAAGACUCCAUUCUCAUCCGCAAAGAUUCCCCCUCUUUACUCUGGACUUGCAUGUAUGAAUUGCUUGCUGUGGGGCGCGUGUGUGUGAGAGAGAGACCGACAGGAGCAAAA